rnacentral:lncRNA from 1 species
AUGUCUACCUCCAAAGAGAGGGCAGGCACCCAGAGAGGGAAAGAAGUCAGGAGAGCCAUCCUAUCGGCAAUUACUGGACGGGAGACAGUCAGAAUUGUGCCAUCUGAGAGUGUGGCAGGAUCGAGCGUUUCCUCUCAGCUCACACACGUACAGGUCAACACCCAGCCAAGGCAGCCUGCGACCAGAGAUGGCACAGCCAUUCCAUGGCCUCCUUCCACAGCUGAAUCUGUCACUAGAUUAGAAAACAUAAGCCAUGCUUGGCAACAGACACCAGAUGCGACUUCCAUGACAGAGAUGAAGGGUUCAGUUAUUCUUAGGACUAAAAGCGUAAGUCGGCUCCCAGAAGUCAGGGACCCUAAUGCCAGCCCAACCACUUUGCCUCCCAGUACAGAAGCAGGGGCCAGCAGGGUCACGCCUUUGCCGACUCCCUGGGCUCAGGUUCCAGCAUCCUCAGACCUUCCACGGGGAGUUGGAGUUCCAGACAUAUUGGUUGCGCUUCCUGGCACGGUUGCAGCGGAGACUCCUUUGAAUGACAUGUUUUUCACUGUUGUAGCCCCAGAGAUCGGUCCUUCCAAUGUCAGAGGACAAAGGUUUGAUCCAGUGUUGCCACAAGGGUCACCUGCCCUCAGAGACAGGCCUGAGAGUCCGAAUAGAUUAGCUUCCAUGUCCAUCGAGUCUCCCAGUGACACCAGAGUAGAUGUGCACAUGGCGACAUCCACAGACGACACAGAGAGUAGUGCCUCAGUGAUGAGCGUCUCAUUCGCAGAUGACUGGAAAUCCAGAAGAGAAUCCGAAAAGUCCGCGGAUACCCCCUGGCAUAAUGUGGCAGGCCCUUUUGAGAUGAUCAGUGAAAUGGGGGCGAGUAGCACCUAUCUUUCUACCCAGAGACCCUCCGUCACUGUGGACAAUUGGAUAGAUUAUGUCAUGACAAAAGCACACGUAAUGGAAGCCACUUCUAGAAUGCUUAGUGCCAGUUCUGAAAAAGCAAACCUCCCUGACGAUCCUGAAACCACAGACUUGAUCGCCAUCAGCAGAGAUAUAGUGAAUUCAAGUUUGUCUUCUGUUACCUCGCUGAUGGAUGAAGAAAUUGCAUCACCCAGUGAAUCAGAUAGAGAACUCAAUACAGCUAACCAUAGGACCACUGACUCUUAUCCUAUCGCUGUUGGUCAGAUGAGCCAUCAGCUUUCAUUUUCUGAAAAACAGCGCAUGGCUAAGACUUUCAACUUUAUUAAUCAUGGAGCCCCAAAAUCUUCCAUGGCACCUACCAGAACAACAGACACCACUACCAGCAGCUCUGUGCUCACACCUGGAGGAAGGGUAGCCAUGCCAGGGCCCUCUACUGGAACCUCACAUCUUGCUAUAUCUGGGAUAGAUGCCAGUCGUUCUGUGCAGCAGUCUCGCAUGGCAGCCCCUGUAAAUUCUUCAGGGGUCACUAAUGUAGAAGAUAUGAAGGUGGGUACCUCUAAGGUUGAAAGUGUAAGCCUGAUCCCUAGCACCACAGGCAGCCAUGCAUCUCUUUUGCUCCCAUAUCACUCUAGACAUUCAAGCAUAGAGUCACAGAGUAGUUUGCCCGGUCUCUGGUCCAUUUCUUCGUCUGAUAGCUCAUCUUCUAAACCACGGGAUUUCCCAAAAAUCCUGAAAACUGUAUGGCCCGAAGAUUACAAAGGGGUUUUGGUGACAGGGUCUGGUACCUUCUCUGAGCUCCCAGAAAAAGUCCACAUUACAAAUUUUUACCCCACCUCCCUGGAACAGAUGACUUGUUCUUGGACUGAGAGGAUGGCCUUGACCACUUUAAAUCUCCCUACCAUAAGAGAGGAAGUGAACUGCCCUACAUCUCUCCUAUCAUCCCCUAAGUCCUCAGAUAGCUCAAUGACCAUUGCCCUAACUUCAGACGAGACAGAGGAAGUUGCCUUUCCAUAUUUUGACUUGUUAGAGAACAUCAGUCAUGAGCAGACAGCCAGCUAUCAGAAAUCUAUAGACACCACUAUGGGCCACAUACAGCCAAGUUUAGAUAUGGCCUCCACCAGUGCUCUGAUUUCCCACGAAAGGAGCACAGGCAGUGUUCCAGACUCAGAGAUCAAGAAAAAUUUUCCUGCGACCUCUAAUUCUAUUGAUACCAACCUUAACCUCAAGUCAGGUCAUUCUUCAUGGCUCAAAGGAGAUUCAAUUGUCUACAUGACUCAGGAUCACACCCCAAGUUCUACAUCAAGGGCUGGUCUUGGAACAGGGACAGGGUCUUUGCUGGCAUUGACGACAGAAGCAUCCUCUCUGCCCAACCCUAGAGAAAACACAGUCAACCCAACAUUUUCUAAUACCACUGAAGUUAUGACUCCCACCAUGUCUGGAAUAAGAGCCAGCUCUCCUCCGAAUCCUUUCUUCACUUCAUCAACUGCCACAGUUGCCUUGGGGGUUAUGCCCAGUAAAAAAGAGGGGACUUCAGAUCCCCUUAGUGCAAGUCUGAUCCCUAGCACUAAGGUCACGGUCAUCAGUCCAAGUUCUGUGCCUAUAUCCCAUCCUGACCUCCAAAGCACAGGUGCAGAGGCUAGUGUAGCCACCCCACUGACCAAUUGCCCAUAUGAAGUGUUGGCAUCUUCAGACAAUGAGAUGGCAGGAACAGACCCAUUCACAACAGCUGGUGGCUCCACUCUGGGGAAGACUUCUCCUGAUGCUAUUGCAUAUACAACCCCAGAGACCCACUCUGCCAGAGUCAUGGGAACAAACCCUGCUCCAAUGCCUGCUGGGGCAUGUGCCAUUUCUACUACCAUGCCAGAGAAUCUAGAUGUCCAAGCAGGAAAGGGGCCAAAGGGGCCUAACUCGGCUGUUCUGCCUCCCACUGUUCUGAGUGAUGUCCCAACUGGGCAGGCAACACCAUCCACAGAACCCAUGGUGGGUAGCGAGACACCUAGUGGUUUCUCUGAGCCAAGUGAAGUGCCCCAUAUCACUUGCCUGCACACCAACUCCAAAGCACAUCUAGUCACUUCUUGGUCUGAAAGGACAAUCUCCUUAGACCUUCCCAUUUUAAGUGAGGACAUAAACUACUCCAUCUCUAUGGGUUCCUCAAAAUCCACUUCCAUGGCUCCUGGGCCAGCUACAAGGGCCAGCCUUGGAGCAGAGUAUAAGACUCUAAUCCCUACCGUGUCAAAGCCUAGCCUUGGAGCAAAGGCAUGUUUGACCCUGGAGCCAACUACGGUAGCAGUCGAUGCCUCUGCUGCCAGCAGCUCCUUGCCUGCUACUAGAGAUAGCCCAGUUGUUUCUUGGCCUUCUAGUGCAGCAGAAGCCACAGUUGUCACUGUGAUUUAUACUGACACCAACCCUACUUGGUCAGAGAUCCUCACUCCAUUAGCCUCAUCAGAAGUCACUCCUGUGGCCGAGGAGAUGAACUCUGAAGUCCUUGGGGUUGAAAGUUCAAGUCUGAUCCCUAUCAGCAAGAAGGCAGACAUUAUAUAUACUUCUCCUGGGCCCUCCCCACAUCCUGAACCUCCAAAUGCAAGGGCAGAGACUAGCCUAGUUGCCCUUCCAGCCGCAUCCUCUUCUGAAGCUUUCAUCGAGGAUGGAGCGGCCAACCCGUUAGUUGUACCUUUUGUCCCAACACCUGUAGGGAUGCUUUCUUAUUGGAGAACACAUGCAGGUGCUCAGCUGAAUUCAACCAAAGUCCUAGGCAGGGCCUCAGCUUCCACCCUGACCCUAGCCUUAUCCACUGCCACAGAAAGGCUGGAUGCCAGGAUAGGAAGAGAGCUCAGCUCUAUGGCCUUGCCUAUCUCUGCUCUGAGUGACCUCCAGACAGCUGGCACAUCUGCAGAUCCACCAAGAGGGAGUGCCACAUGGUCCAGUUCUUUCUUUGAGCUCACAGAAAUGCCCCAGGUCAUUCAAAUAGCACACCCCAGCUCUGAGAUGCACCUGGCUACUCCUUGGUUUGAAAGAACCAGUCUAACAAACAUCCGGCGAUAUUCUGUGUCUGCCCCUACAUCCUCCACCACUGUGGAUUUCAGGGCUCUCUUGGAAGUACUGAGGAAGGAAGCUCCCUCUCCAUCCACUGGCCCCGCAGAGACCACAGCUUCUGAGCAGGCUCCUAGCUCUGCAGGACUUCUGGCCACCACUGGAAGUUUGACUAGAGAGAGAACCAGAUGGUCGAAUCCAAGUGCAUCAUUAAUAAUCUCCCAAGUGGCUGUGGCCAGUUCAGAGGGCAGCAUUCCAAACUUGGGGAACACCAUAGGUUCCCUUAGGACUUCAUCCUCACCUCAGAGUAGAGCUGGCCUUUGGAUCAGUCCUACUGAAAGACACAGGAAGGGUUCAGUCAGCAACACAAACCUAAGCUACCCUCCAGGUGCUCGAGAGUGCAAUCUUGCAACAAGGAUCCACUCAUCUCUGUCACUGACCACAACACUUGAUGCUUCCAGCACGAGCAGCUCUGAGGCCAACACUGGAAAGAGCCCUGUCAUCCCUUGUUCCCCGACCACAGCUCAAGUCGCCACGAAUACUACAGGUGCUGGCCUUCCUGUGGCACAGGGCCUCAUUCCACCAACCCCUUCCGUCUUGUUGGUUUUUUCAAGGGAUGGGGAGCCGGGCUCAUCUGCCUCUGCGACAGAUAGCUUACACCCAGGCCCUGGGAGCCAACUCACACAUUUUGCUCACCAAUCUGGCCUUCCAAACGCAGGAGGGGGAGGGCAGACCAGCAUGGCCUCCCACUUGACCAUAUCUUUCCUGGAAAUUCUGUCCUUAGACAAUGUGAUCCUCCAGCCAGGUUCAUCAGUCACAACUCUUCACUCUAUGGCUUCUAGGAGCCCAGAGAACAGCUCAGCUCUCCCUCUGGCAGCUUUGUUUCCUGUGGCUACAGCCAAAGGCACCUUAGCCAAUGCCACGGCAGAGAGCCCUAUAGCGGCGUUCUCUGCAAAUUCCACCCCUGCCACCACUGGUGGAUCAGCAGUGGUCACUCUGGGCCUGACCCCUUCAGUCCUUACAGGACAUGACCCUACCGGUCGUGAGUGGACACUGACUGUUGGCUUGACACCUGGAGCUAUCUCUGGCUCAGGAACUGAUACCAGCUCAGUGGCCUCUCCUCUCGCAAGGCUGUCUGGUCUCACAGCAGCAUUGGCACCAGGAAUAGAUGCCCAAAGGUCUGUAGGGGAGAGCACAUCCUCCCUGAACCGAGGUGUAGGGACCAGCAGUUCUGUAAGUUGGACCUCAUCCCCGUGGAAUACCUCGUCUUCCGUCAGCCUAGAUACAGAGUCAGGGACAGGAUGCCCCAUUUUUUCAGCACCAGGGAGCUUCCCUGCCUUGGUGGUCGCCACUUUUGAGAUCUCAACAGAGGAACUAAGUGGGCAGAUAGCUUCUGGCUCAGCCACUCUUCAGGCUACCAACCUCCUUGAUUCCACCUCUUCAAUUAGCCAUGAGUUUGGGACACCCACAGAAACCACCUCACCUCUGGCGGGAGCCACCAUGCCAGCUGAGACAUCUGUUCAAGUGACCAUAAGACAUGAAGACCUUCCUCAUACCCCAUUUGAGCCCACAGCUGCUCCAGGUUCCAGUACUUCUUUAGAGACCAGCAUACUUGAGACAGUUUCCUCUACUCUCUCUGCAGCCACCCCAACAGCAGGCAAGACUACUGGGGAGAUCCUUCCCACAGUUCCUACUCCAUGGCCUACUCUAGUUGAUUCCUCAUACACAAAAGUUUUUGGUGGAGGGGCAGGAACAAGCCCUAAAGUCAUGUGGAUGCAACCAACUUCAACUCAGAUGAAAACCAUGUCUCUGACAGCAGAGGGGUCCAAGCCCCAGGCAAGAACUGAACUAGGCUCCUCUAACCUGGUUCCCAUCACCCUGAGUGAUGUCCCAACAGCUGUUGGAGGAGACAUGGGCACAACUGUGCCAUUUACAGACAUGACAACUGAAGAUAUGACAACGAUCUCACCUGGCACCUUCACCAAGCCUGUAGACACAUUGAGCAUCGUUCAAAGUCCACAUACUAGCUCCUUAGACCCUUCAUCCAUUCCCUGGUCUGAGAGAAUGACCUCCUUGAGUACAAGAAAGGUGAGCCACUCCAUGGCUCUCCUUGGGCCCUCUGGCUCAUCUGAUACCACAUCAGGGUCACAGACAAGCAAAGAGACCGCUCCAUCUACUGUCCUCACUGAGACCCCAGCUGAUCAGGGGGCAGCUAGCCCAAUUUUUACCACCAGUGAAAAAACACAGAAAAGUACAAGUGUACCCUCUAAAACCUCACUGGUGGUGAAGGAAGGAAUAACAGGCUCAGAGACCAGUACGGAAUUCACUGAUUCCUAUGCUAAGGUUCUGGGAAGAGAAGUGAGUGCCAUCCCUAGCAAUAUCUGGUCAAGUUCAAGUUUGACCUCCAUCAGCACUUUGGUGGAAGAGUCACAUACAUCCCUCAGUGCUCCAGACACAGACACCAGUCCAAUUUCCUCUAAGACCUCUGUCUCUGUUGACACCAGUGCCAGUUUCAGGAUAAGUCCUUCUGGAGGAUACAGUACAGCUGUGGACAUAGCUCUCACCCACACCCUGGUAUCAACCACAGCUCCAGCUAAAGCUUCUAUGACUAUUGAAUCAGAGACUGUGCCAGGGGUAACGUCACCUCUAGAAGCUUCAGUUUUCACUUCUGGGAUGCAGGAUGUAUGGAUGUCACCAUCGUUCUCUUCAGAGACCAUGGCUAAAGUGGGCAGCACCCCGAGGGCAGAUACAGUCACUGCUCCCUUUCCUACUGACUCCACCCCUUUUACAAGUAGUGAUGCUGGCAUGGUGCUUAUCACAUCUGCCCCCAUCCAUGGAGCAACAGGAAACCCUCCAGCCCUCACAUCUACCUUUGAUCCAGUAGGAAUCAGCAAGAACUCUGGUCCUAGCACAUAUAGGGAAGACUUAAUUGCAACAGAAAGCACAAGAUCUCCAGUCAAUAAACCCUCAGUGCUCACAACCAAUGUCCACACUUCAGGUUUUGAUGCUAGUGUGGUGACUGUCACCCACAUUCCAGACCAAGUUGCAUCUGGAGGAUCCUGGGCACCAACAAGUGAUUCUCAGGCACUCAGAUCCACUGUCAGUUCCACAGGCAAAAAUGUGGUGCCCACCACACAAAUCCCAAGCCAAGAAGCAUCAAGAGGUUCUGUAACACUGACAAGCAACCCUCUAACACUCAAAGACACUCUCAGCCCUAUAGUGACCACAUCUAGAACACACACAGCUACCAUGGAGAGCACCAGUAUGGGCCUGGGACCAAUAUCAAGGUCAAUUUCACCAGAUGCCCCACAGACAACUGCUUUGGCUUCAGAAAUGGACAUUAGCUCCUCUGCCUCCCAGGCUUCCUCUCUUUCAUCUUUCAGUAGCAAAGAAACAGAGAAAAUACCUUCAUCCAUUCCAGUGCAAGCUGAGGCUACCACCCCAGAGAAGCUGGACGCCCGGACAAGCACAGAAUCUGACUCAGCUUCUUGGCUCACUCCUGCUCUAAGCACCGUCCCAACUGCUGCAGUAGGAGACACAUAUGCAUCCCUGGCAUCCACAGAAGCAAAAACUGAGCUCAUAACAACGUCUUUUUCCUUUGUGGAGAGUAAAGACAAAAAUGGGGCAACUCCCAAAGAGCAAACAUAUUCCACAGGACCCUCAACUCUUCCUUGGCUUAAGACAAUAUCCACUAUUGUCCCCUAUAAUGUAAGUCAGGAAGCCAACUUUUCCACAAUUGUCCCUUCACCUACUAGAACAGGAGCCUUGGCGAGCCAAGCUGCACUUCCUACCACGGAGUCCCCUAAAUCCUCAUAUUCUGAGGGGGUGACCACUUCAACUGGACCAGUGACUGCCAAUACAGCUAUUCCUCCUAGUCUCAGUCCAGGAGAGAUCCAAGAUUUCGCCACUCAAGACAACAUACUACUAAGCAAUAGUUUGGUCUCCACAUCCACCCAUGUGUUUGAAAUGAGUAUAGGGGGCAGUGCUACAGGAUCAGAUGAUAGCACAAUUCACCCUGUUGAGACCUCCCUUGAUCUCAGGACAAGCCCUACUGGAGAGUCCAGCACAGGGGCAGAGGGCUAUGCUACUCUAUACAACACCCUCCUUACUAUAGGGUCAGCUCCACGGGAGAUGAUGACUCAUGAUGUUCCACCUGCAGACUUAGAGGUGCCAUUAGAUCAUUCCUUGACGACCUUGGACAUGGUGGCCAUGACUAGUCCUGUUACAGAUAUGGUGACCACCUUAACCACAGACAGCACUGUCAGGGUCCAUCACUCAGUCCUUCCUCUUGGCACCAGUUCAGUGGAGAUGUCACCAAGUUCUACAUCAUUCAUUCCCGGAGAGGAAAAUCCUGCCAUCCAGUGGCCAGAUGUGACCACAAUGACCUUUGCUCAUCUUGGACAAGGAUCAAGUCUGUCUUCUAUUACCCAGGAUGAGCCAUCUGUAACUCAAAGAACAUUGAUUACCAAAGUUCCACAGGGAAGUAAUAAAGAAUCCCUAUUGUCCUCUACUGAAGUUCAGGCCACUGGAACAGGGACAAUAGCAAUUUCCACAGCCUCAAGCCUACAGUACAUCCAGACUUCCAAGGGUACCAUCUCAGAGGCCAACAGGACCUAUCCUACUUUUUCAUCUUCCCUGGGAAGCCCUGGGACACAAGACUCUACUCUUGAGAGAGUAACAAGCAAUUAUCAGGCAUUGUCCAAUAUGCCCACCGAGAAAUCACUGGGAGGAGACACUGGUUCACCAAUCCCUAUUUCCACAAUACUUUCUAAAGUCACUACAUCAAGAGCAAGUACCCAAGGAUUUGAAAGUCCAAGCACAGCUACUCUGGAAGCCAGCACUGCUUCAGCAGUGGGGGCCAGGCCUGCUGUGACCUUGAUGUCUUCACUGACAAAGACUACAGCUUCUAUCAGCACAGAUGUGAAGACCACGCCACAUUUAGCUUUCUAUGCAUCCAGUCCCCCAUCACCAGCAAAAACAAGCUCUCCAAGUCUAGUUGAUAUCACCUUAGGUGAAUUUUCCUUGGAUUCCUCCACAAGAGCAGCACCCUCUAGCCCUGCCUAUGAAUCUCCAAAGCAAAGCCCAAAUGCUUCUCCUACUGUUGCCACUUCUGUGGCUUGGAUAAGUGCCAUUCCCCCUGGUACUACUCCCUCUUGGGAGGGAUCAAGGGAAGCCAUCUUGACUGCAGGAUCAGAGACGACCUCAGGGUUAGUGAAAACAUCAUCUCUAGCUGCUACUCUGACUCCGGCAAGAACACAGGCAGUCUGGACAUCAUCACUUCCCACCUCAGCAUCCACAGCUUCAGAGGACAGUAGUGCUAGGGAAGAAAUAGAAGCUAUUUCUGCCCCUGCAGCUCCCAGCUCCACCUUGUUCACAAGUGGUGAUGCUGGUUUGGAGCCUGUCACCCAUAUUACUGACAACAGAGUACCAGGAGACACUAUAACACUGACAAGUGGAUUGCUGGCCCCUGUGUCUACUGUACAUGUUGCAGGUAAGUAG